AAGGCGGGCUGGACCUCUCGGGGUUACAGCCUUGCUGAAUUAUUCACCCUUGUCUUUUGCGUACUUCUUGUUUCCUUGGUGGGUUCGCCCACCACUAGGACAAACAUAAACCUUUUUGUAAUUGCAAUCAGCGUCAGUAACAAAUUAAUAAUUACAACUUUCAACAACGGAUCUCUUGGUUCUGGCAUCGAUGAAGAACGCAGCGAAAUGCGAUAAGUAGUGUGAAUUGCAGAAUUCAGUGAAUCAUCGAAUCUUUGAACGCACAUUGCGCCCUUUGGUAUUCCAAAGGGCAUGCCUGUUCGAGCGUCAUUUGUACCCUCAAGCUUUGCUUGGUGUUGGGCGUCUUGUCUCUAGCUUUGCUGGAGACUCGCCUUAAAGUAAUUGGCAGCCGGCCUACUGGUUUCGGAGCGCAGCACAAGUCGCACUCUCUAUCAGCAAAGGUCUAGCAUCCAUUAAGCCUUUUUUUCAACUUUUGACCUCGGAUCAGGUAGGGAUACCCGCUGAACUUAA
rnacentral:rRNA from 1 species